rnacentral:rRNA from 1 species
GAUGAACGCUGGCGGCGUGCCUAAUACAUGCAAGUCGAACGGUCUUUUCUAUGGAAGCUUGCUUCCGCUGAGAAGGUAGUGGCGAACGGGUGAGUAACACGUGGGUAACCUGCCCAUAAGAGGGGGAUAACAUCCGGAAACGGGUGCUAAUACCGCAUAGUUUUCUUGAUCGCAUGAUCGAGAAAGGAAAGACGGCCUUUGUGCUGUUGCUUAUGGAUGGACCCGCGGCGUAUUAGUUAGUUGGUGAGGUAACGGCACACCAAGACGAUGAUACGUAGCCGACCUGAGAGGGGGAUCGACCACAUUGGGACUGAGACACGGCCCAAACUCCUACGGGAGGCAGCAGUAGGGAAUCUUCCGCAAUGGACGAAAGUCUGACGGAGCAACGCCGCGUGAGUGAAGAAGGUUUUCGGAUCGUAAAACUCUGUUGUCAGAGAAGAACAAGUCGGAGAGUAACUGCUCCGGCCUUGACGGUAUCUGACCAGAAAGCCACGGCUAACUACGUGCCAGCCGCCGCGGUAAGAC